rnacentral:rRNA from 1 species
GUGGGGAAUCUUAGACAAUGGGCGCAAGCCUGAUCUAGCCAUGCCGCGUGAGCGAUGAAGGCCUUAGGGUUGUAAAGCUCUUUCGCUGGGGAAGAUAAUGACUGUACCCAGUAAAGAAGCCCCGGCUAACUCCGUGCCAGCAGCCGCGGUAAUACGGAGGGGGCUAGCGUUAUUCGGAAUUACUGGGCGUAAAGCGCACGUAGGCGGACCAGAAAGUUGGGGGUGAAAUCCCGGGGCUCAACCUCGGAACUGCCUUCAAAACUCCUGGUCUUGAGUUCGAGAGAGGUGAGUGGAAUUCCGAGUGUAGAGGUGAAAUUCGUAGAUAUUCGGAGGAACACCAGUGGCGAAGGCGGCUCACUGGCUCGAUACUGACGCUGAGGUGCGAAAGCGUGGGGAGCAAACAGGAUUAGAUACCCCUGUAGUCC